rnacentral:rRNA from 1 species
UGGGGAAUAUUGCACAAUGGGCGGAAGCCUGAUGCGGCAACGCCGCGUGCGGGAUGACGGCCUUCGGGUUGUAAACCGCUUUCGCCUGUGACGAAGCGUGAGUGACGGUAAUGGGUAAAGAAGCACCGGCUAACUACGUGCCAGCAGCCGCGGUGAUACGUAGGGUGCGAGCGUUGUCCGGAUUUAUUGGGCGUAAAGGGCUCGUAGGUGGUUGAUCGCGUCGGAAGUGUAAUCUUGGGGCUUAACCCUGAGCGUGCUUUCGAUACGGGUUGACUUGAGGAAGGUAGGGGAGAAUGGAAUUCCUGGUGGAGCGGUGGAAUGCGCAGAUAUCAGGAGGAACACCAGUGGCGAAGGCGGUUCUCUGGGCCUUUCCUGACGCUGAGGAGCGAAAGCGUGGGGAGCGAACA